rnacentral:rRNA from 1 species
CUUUCCGUGUUGGACUGUGUACAAGUCUCUUGGAAUAGAGCAUCAUAGAGGGUGAGAAUCCUGUCUUUGACACAGACUACCAAUGCUUUUGUGAUGCGCUCUCAAAGAGUCGAGUUGUUUGGGAAUGCAGCUCAAAAUGGGUGGUAAAUUCCAUCUAAAGCUAAAUAUUGGCGAGAGACCGAUAGCGAACAAGUACCGUGAGGGAAAGAUGAAAAGAACUUUGGAAAGAGAGUUAAACAGUACGUGAAAUUGUUGAAAGGGAAACACUUGAAGUCAGUCACAUUGAUUGGGAAUCAACCCUUCUUUUAUUAGAUGGGUGUACUUCCUUGUUUAAUGGGUCAGCAUCAAUUUUGAUUGUUGGAUAAAAGUCAAUAUUUAUGCAUCUUCGGAUGUAUAGCCUUUGGUUACAUACAACAGUUGGGAUUGAGGAACUCAGCAUGCCGCAAUGGCCGGGUCUCUAAGACCACGUACAUGCUUAGGAUGCUGGCAUAAUGGCUUUAAUUGACCCGUCUUGAAACACGGACCAAGGAGUCUAACAUGCACGCGAGUGUUUGGGUGGUAAACCCGAGCGCAUAAUGAAAGUGAAAAGUUGAGAUCCUUGUCAUGGGGAGCAUCGACGCCCGGACCAGACCUUUUGUGACGGAUCCGCGGUAGAGCGUGUAUGUUGGGACCCGAAAGAUGGUGAACUAUGCCUGAAUAGGGUGAAGCCAGAGGAAACUCUGGUGGAGGCUCGUAGCGAUUCUGACGUGCAAAUCGAUCGUCG